rnacentral:lncRNA from 1 species
UUCACCCUGAAGACGGUUGAGUUCAGGACACAAAGUGUAAAAUCCAGAUGAGCAGAGACCAAGAUUUCUGAUUGAACAAAGAACACUUUAUUGAGUGCUGCCUGGGUGCGGGGAGAAGAGCGGGAUGACCCAGAUGGGAGGCAAGAUCCUCCUGGAGGUCCUGAGGCUCCGGGCCCCCUUAGGUGGGCGGGGCCGUCGGGAACCUAAGAGCACUCUGCCUGGGUGUGGGGAGAAGGGCGGGAUGACCCAGAUAGGAGGCAAGAUCCUCCUGGAGGUCCUGAGGCUCCGGGCCCCCUUAGGUGGGCGGGGGCGUCGGGAACCUAAGAGCACUCUGCGGGGGCCACCUUCUUCUCCACGGUGCUCCCCUCGUGUGUGACCAGGCAGCUGAAGCUGCUGUGAGAUUUCCACUUGUCAGGCGUCAGGCUCAGGUAGCUGCUGGCCGCGUACUUGUUGUUGCUCUGCUUGGAGGGCUUGGUGGUCUCCACGCCCUGGGUGACGGGGCUGCCGUCUGCCUUCCAGGCCACCGUCACGCCACUGGGGUAGAAGUCGCUGAUGAGGCACACCAGGGUGGCCUUGUUGGCGCCGAGCUCCUCAGAGGAGGGCGGGAAGAGUGUGACCGAGGGGGAGGCCUUGGGCUGACCUGUGGGGAUGGAAGGACAGCGGGUCAAGGCAGAUGUUUGUUGUGUCAGCAACUGCCUCAUUCUUGGUGUGGGGGUACAGCUGUGUCAUAUCCAUGACCCAGGCCUCCCGUGGACCUCAUUCCCCGAGGUAAUGGUAGCCAUGGAUAGUUAGUUCCCUCACCUUCUGAGGUGAGAAUGUGAGUGCCAGAUUCUCUAGUUUCUGGUCCCUCCCAUGUCCUUAGGCUGUCUGCACGUCACGUAUACUUCGUGUCCACCCAGUGUGCUCCCAGUACUGGUGGGGGUACAGGGGCCCUGAGAUCCUGUUUCCCUUCUGAACCUGAGUGUCCUUGGCCAUUGGUCUCCAUGUGACUACACCCGUGUCACUUACCCGUGAUUUCCUAGAGCCUGCCAUUCUCGGUGACAGGGCUCUGUUCUUACCAUGUGAACAAUAGGUUUCCCGUCCCCAGACUGUCUCACAUCUUCACAGCAGCCUUCCCCGCCUCCCUACCAAUCCCGCACUAGAGCCCUUGAAGUUGUAAGCGCAAUGAGGUCCUGGGCCUCGGUCCAGGAGGUACAGGAGACAGAAUGGAUUUGUAUGAAUGAAUUUUCAAAAUGCAGCUGGGAUUUUGUUUGAUCUGAGGGUGUCCCCUGACCCAUGAAGUUAUCCUAGUGCAUCUGUCUGUCCUUGGAUUUCUGAGUGCUGUGUAGGCAAUGUCCCUGUUCUGCGUUCCUAUCAUCCCCCCUGACCCAAAUUUCUGCUCAUUGGCUUUUAAGCCUCGGAGAGCUGUGUAGGGAUGGACCCCUGCUACCUGAGUGUCUCGAGGCCUCCUUGGGUGCGUGACGGUCCAUUCUUGGUGUGUGUUCUCUCCCCCUAGGUGGUGGAUGGUCCUACCGCAUUGGGCUCCCUUAUCUGAAGUCCUCACCUUAUUCUUGACCCUGAGCUGUACUUUGCCUUCCUUGUCUCUAAGUCCCCAUGCCUAGUGUCUCCUCCCUGAGCUUCACACAGACUCUGGCUGGGAUUCCCGCCACACGCAGAGAGAGAGCAAGCGCCUUGGCAGGCCCCAGAAUCCUUCCAUAAUCCCAUGGCCCUGCUUACAGCUCAAGUAUCCCUCUUCCUAUCCUUCACCAUCAUUUCCCUCAGAUUCUUGAAGUCAAAGGCCCAGAGUGGGGAGUCACAGAUGCCCAAGUCCAGGGGAGAAGUUUCCCUCAUGGGGAGAGAGCUCGACCCCCAGGGAAGCCUGAGUGUAGAUCAGGGGCUGCUUCCCUGAGGCACCGAAUGGACCUCUGACAAGGUGGGAGCAAUGGAGGAAUGAGGAGCAGAGCAAGGGGACCAAAAGUACAGACCCACAGACCUUCAGCCUCAGCCCGCAUCAGGAUUGAAAGGAGACAAAUAUUGCCAGAAAUUGUAGUGCGGAGGUGAAAGAGGAGAGAAAGGGGGAGACUCACCGAGGACGGUCAGAUGGGUGCCUCCGCCGAACACACUACACUGUGAUACAGCCUCGAUCACAAACCCUCUGUCAGCCCCUCCUCCCCUUACCCAGGCCACCUGCAGGUGCUCGGGAGGCCCAAAGGGCAGCCUCCUUGUCACGGGUGCUGGUCAGGCUGAAUGGGAGUGGGGUGAUGAGGGCGUAGCCACUGAGGACCAGGAAUUUCAUUUCCAUGGAGGGUUCAUGUUCCUUCCAUCCCAAGUCCCAGUGUGAGG